UUGAUAAUUUUCAUUUACUUA
rnacentral:piRNA from 1 species